GCGAACGCUGGCGGCGUGCCUAACACAUGCAAGUCGAACGCGAACGGGGGCAACCCCUAGUAAAGUGGCGUACGGGUGAGUAACACGUAGGUAAUCUACCCCAGAGUCUGGAAUAACCUGCCGAAAGGCGGGCUAAUACUGGAUAGAGCGACGGAAUCCGUAAUUGGGUUUUCGGGAAAGGGAGGGAGCAAUCCCCUUUGCUCUGGGAUGAACCUGCGUCCCAUCAGCUAGUUGGUAAUGGUAAUGGCUUACCAAGGCGAUGACGGGUAGCUGGUCUGAGAGGAUGAUCAGCCACACUGGAACUGAAACACGGUCCAGACUCCUACGGGAGGCAGCAGUGGGGAAUCUUGCGCAAUGGACGAAAGUCUGACGCAGCCACGCCGCGUGAGUGAAGAAGGCCUUCGGGUUGUAAAGCUCUGUCGGAAGGGACCGAAAAGCAUUUGGGUUAACAGCCCAAGUGCCUGACGGUACCUUUAAAGGAAGCACCGGCUAACUCUGUGCCAGCAGCCGCGGUAAUACAGAGGGUGCAAGCGUUGCUCGGAAUCAUUGGGCGUAAAGGGCAAGUAGGUGGUCUCAUUUGUCUAGGGUGAAAUCCUUGAGCUUAACUCAAGAAGUGCCCUAGAAACGGUGAGACUCGAGUACUGGAGAGGGUCGUGGAAUUCCCGGUGUAGCGGUGAAAUGCGUAGAGAUCGGGAGGAACACCAGAGGCGAAGGCGGCGACCUGGACAGUUACUGACACUCAACUGCGAAAGCGUGGGGAGCAAACAGGAUUAGAUACCCUGGUAGUCCACGCUGUAAACGAUGGGAACUAGGUUUGAUGGGUCUUGACCCACCGUCGAACCGGCGCUAACGCACUAAGUUCCCCGCCUGGGAAGUACGGUCGCAAGACUAAAACUCAAAGGAAUUGACGGGGGCCCGCACAAGCGGUGGAUAUCAUGUAGGUUUAAUUCGAAGCAACGCGAAGAACCUUACCUGGGUUUGACAUCUCUGGACAAUCCGUAGAGAUACGGCUUUCGUAGCAAUACGACCAGAUGACAGGUGCUGCAUGGCUAGUCGUCAGCUCGUGUGGUGACAUGUUGGGUUAAGUCACCGCAACGAGCGCAACCCCUGUCCUUAGUUGCCAGCAUUCAGUUGGGCUCCUCUAAGGAGACUGCCGUGGUGAACACAGAGGAAGGUGGGGAUGACGUCAAGUCCUCAUGGCCUUUAUAUCCAGGGCGACACACGUGAUACAAUGGACGGUACAGAGGGAAGCGAAACCGCGAGGGUGGAGCCAAUCUCAAAAAGCCGUUCUCAGUUCGGAUUGGAGUCUGCAACUCGACUCCAUGAAGUUGGAAUCGCUAGUAAUCGCGGAUCAGCACGCCGCGGUGAAUACGUUCCCGGGCCUUGUACACACCGCCCGUCACACCAUGGGAGCUGACUCAACCAGAAGAACGGUCAGGCUAACCGCAAGGGAGCCUCCGGCGAAGGUGGGGUUGGUGACUGGGGUG
rnacentral:rRNA from 1 species